rnacentral:tRNA from 1 species
GCAUUGGUGGUUCAGUGGUAGAAUUUUCACCUUCCAUGUGGGAGACCCGGUUUGAUUCCCAGCCAGUGCA